rnacentral:rRNA from 1 species
GGGGAUGUUUGAGGCAGAUUUGUAACCGCCGUUUUGAGGCCAGCUUGCUGGUACCCAAACAGCGUUAGCAUCUUUUGUCUUGGACAUUUGAGUAUGGUUUACGGGCAUUUAUUGGUUCGAUCUGAUUGUAAGUUACGGUCGCAUGCGACACGUGCUUUUCAUUUAGAUCGGUCCAGUUAAUGCUCUCGUACUCGCUCCCCAUGUAAAAGCCGGUCAUCUAUCCGACCCGUCUUGAAACACGGACCAAGGAGUUUAUCGUGUGCGCAAGUUUUUGGGUGUUAAAAACCUAAAAGCGAAAUGAAAGUAAAUGGCUCUUUAGAGUCUGACGUGCGAUCUUGUAAAAAAGGGCAGCAUGGCCCCAUUCUAACUGUUUACAGUAGGGUGGAGGAAGAACGUACGCGGUGAGACCCGAAAGAUGGUGAACUAUUCCUGAGCAGGACGAAGCCAGAGGAAACUCUGGUGGAAGUCCGAAGCGGUU